rnacentral:rRNA from 1 species
UACGUAGGGAGCAAGCGUUGUCCGGAAUCAUUGGGCGUAAAGCGCGCGUAGGUGGCUUCGUAAGUCCGUUGUGAAAGUCAAAGGCUCAACCUUUGAAAGCCGAUGGAUACUGCGAGGCUGAGAUGCGGAAGAGGCGAGUGGAAUUCCUGGUGUAGCGGUGGAAUGCGCAGAUAUCAGGAGGAACACCAAUAGCGAAGGCAGCUCGCUGGGACGGUAACUGACGCUAAGGCGCGAAAGCGUGGGGAGCGAACGAGG